rnacentral:rRNA from 1 species
GCCAGCAGCCGCGGUAAUACGARGGGUGCAAGCGUUACUCGRAAUUACUGGGCGUAAAGCGUGCGUAGGCGGUUCGUUAAGUCUGACGUGAAAUCCCCGGGCUCAACCUGGGACGUGCGUUGGAAACUGGCGAUCUAGAGUACGGUAGAGGGUGGUGGAAUUCCCGGUGUAGCAGUGAAAUGCGUAGAGAUCGGGAGGAACACUCGUGGCGAAGGCGGCCACCUGGACCAGUACUGACGCUGAGGCACGAAAGCGUGGGGAGCAAACAGGAUUAGAUACCCUGGUAGUCCACGCCCUAAACGAUGCGAACUGGAUGUUGGGCUCACUUCGGAGCUCAGUAUCGAAGCUAACGCGUUAAGUUCGCCGCCUGGGGAGUACGGUCGCAAGACUGAAACUCAAAGGAAUUGACGGGGGCCCGMACAAGCGGUGGAGUAUGUGGUUUAAUUCGAUGCAACGCGCAGAACCUUACCUGGCCUUGACAUCCACGGAACUUUCCAGAG